rnacentral:sRNA from 1 species
GCUGGGCACAGUAAUGCAUGCCUGUAAUCCCAGUGGCUUGGGAGGCUGAGGCAGGAGAAUUGCCAAGUUCAAAGCCAGCCUCAACAACUUUAUGAGGGAGGCCCUAAACAACUUAGCUAAGACCCUGUCUCAA